UCAAAAAAUUCUGAGCAGUUUCUAUCAGUAGCCUUGGGACUUAACUUGGUCCAAGAUAGAGUUGUUCCAAAUACUCUCUGAGUCUUUUUUCCUCUAAAACUUUUUGAAAUACUUGGAGUGACAACUUUUUGAGAGAGGAGUGACUUCAUGAUCAGUAUUAAACUUAACAGAAGAAAAAUCCUCUGACUUUUAACACAGAUUGUAGGGAGGCCUUAGGUCAAAACUCACUCAAGGCAACACUGACUGGCUAACACUGAAACUUAUCAUUUUUGGAGACCUAUUAUAAGGAAGAUAUAUACAUUUUAUAAGGUAAAAGCUUCACAACCAGACAGUCUGAUGGUUUUUACUUCAUGAACAACAGAUACAAGGGACUUUUGAACACAGUUUCCAAAAGUAUCAACAUUUUAAGAUCUCUUACAAUACUGGACCCUGCAACUUUGUUAAAAGUUUUUAAUUAUUUCCAUUAGAUUUUAAGGUGAUUUUCUCAGAUUCUCCAAGUAUAUCAUCAUAUCAUCUUCAAAGAGUGAUAAUUUGGUUUCCUCAUUGCCUACUUUAAUCCUUUCCAUUUUUUUUCAUCUCUAAUUUCCACUGCUAGCAUUUCUACUAUGAUAUUAAAUAGUAGUGAUGAUAAUGGGCAUCCCUACUGCACUCCUGAUCUCAUUGGGAAGGCUUCAAAAUUAUUCCCAUUGCAGGGCAGAGUCAAGAUGGUGGCUUAUCAAGCAGCAAAAGUUCAGACCUCGUGGAAGACCCUUCUUUACCAAUACAGACUGAAUGCUCCAAUGGCACCAAAAUCCAAGCUGAACAACAGGACAGAAGCGGGGAACCCUCCUUCUGGACUCAAAUCAAAAGGUAUGACCCCCAAAAGCCAGAAUCUGAGAAUACUCAGGGCUAAGGGGAAGGCAGAGUGAAGGUCCCAGGACCCCUCCCCCACAACCCAGAUCGCUGAGCCCCCGGCAGCAGCAGGAACCUCUGAGGGGGCAAAGGUGCUGGUUUGCAAGGUCUACCUUGUGAGCAGCGGGGGGCCUGGCUUGAAGCAUUCAGCUCGGACAGAGGGGAGGAAGCCAGGGAGAGACAGGGCCAAGGCUGGGUCCCUCCGUCAGGCUCCAGCCUCACCUUUACCUCUGGGCACAACCAAAUCAAUACAGUUGAACCUAAUUCAAUCAGAACUCCUCAGAGUUUAGGGAGGCAGGCAAAGGCACUCAUGGACAGCAGAGAAGCAGCUGGAGAGAACUGGAGAGAGCAUAGGCAGCCCAGCCUUCCAGGAGUCUUCAGAGCCUCAGUGCUUCAUACCACAUACAGCCCAACCCAAUUGAACUCAAUCCAAUCAAAAGCCUCCAGAAGACAGGGAAGCUAACAAUCCUCCCCUAGAGACUGUAUCAAGAGAUCUGACAAAGCUCCAAGAGGGGAGACUGACAGCCCCAAAACCAAAACAAAAUGAGAGGAGCAAGAGGACAGCCAAAUACGGAGAGCAAAGAAGGGGUAAACUCGAGAAAACAACAGAAAAAGAAGAAAGAAAUUACAAUAGACAGCUUUUGCACAGGUAAUGAGCAAAGAGCGAAUAAAACAGAGGGGGAGGGAUCAUCAAAGAAAAAAUCAGAAAUCCCAGCGAAUUGGAUACAGGCUUUGGAAGAAUUCAAAAUGCAACUCAAAACACGAUUAAGAGAGGCUGAAGACAAUUGGGAAAAGAACUUAAAAAGUAAGAUAAGUCACCUGGAAACAGAAAAUAGUGACUUGAAAGCCAAAAUCAACCAGCUGGAAAAUGAGGCAAAGGAGAUGAAAGAUGAGGCAAAGCAGAUGAAAGAUGAGGUGAAGAAGAUGAAAGACGACAUCCAAAGAAAAUCCAACCAAAAGUUAAAGGAUGACCAAAAAACUAAGGAUGAAAUCCAGUCUUUAAGAACCAGAAUACAACAAUUAGAAUCAAGCGAUCUCACAAGACAGCAGGACUCUAUAAAACAAAACCAAAAGAAUGAAAAAAUAGAGGAAAAUAUGAAGCAUCUCAUUCACAAAACAGAGGAUUUAGAAAAUCAUUCAAGGAGAGACAAUUUAAGAAUUAUUGGUCUACCGGAAGACCAUGACAAAAGAAAAAGCCUGGACAUUAUAUUACAGGAAAUUAUUAAAGAAAACUGCCCCAAAAUCCUUGAACAAGAGGGAAAAGUGGAGAUUGAUAGAAUUCACAGAUCACCUCCUGUACUUAAUCCCCAACUGACAACACCCAGGAAUGUUAUAGCGAAAUUCAAGAACUAUCAGACCAAAGAAAAGAUAUUACAAGCUGACAAGAAGAAGUCAUUCAGAUAACAAGGAACCACAGUGAGGAUAACUCAGGAUCUGGCUGCAUCCACACUGAAAAAAAGAAAGACAUGGAAUACGAUAUUCUGGAAAGCAAGGGAACUAGGUCUACAACCAAGAAUCAACUACCCAGCAAAACUGACUAUAUUCUUACAGGGGAAAGUAUGGUCAUUCAACAAAAUAGAAGAAUUCCAAGAAUUCUUAAAGAAAAGACCAGACCUGAAGAGAAAAUUUGAUGUCCAAGCACAGAAUUCAAGAGAAUCAUCAAAAGCAACGAUGCUUCUACCUCAUGUGGUCACAUAAUUGUUAACGGGCAUCCCAAUAAGAAAAGAAGCUUGCUAACUACAAAAAUCCAGAGAAUAUACUGUUUAGAGAAGACGCCAUUAAGAUGCUUGCACAGACAACACCCUGCACCAGAAGAUCCAGAGUGAACUUUGAGAUGAGUUGAUUUGAACUAUGUGGGGUUUAAAUGCAUUUGUUUUGUAUGUAUCCUCUUAAGGCGAAGGGGACUUCCCCCAACUGGCUUUUUGUCAAUGUGUCUAGCAAUCAUUCAUUUUGUUCUCUUUUCCUCUUAUCCUCAAAUUAUUAUAAUUUCAAAGUUGGUAUGUUUACAAGAAAUUAGUCUUCCAUGGGUCUGGGGGGGGGGGUUAUGUAUAAAUGGAGAUUUUGAAGCUUUGACUUCAUUCCACAGAAGUCCUUAAUAUUUCCCAAAAUUCCCUAUAAUCUCUCCUGAGUCUCCAUGAGAUCACUGAGAUCAUGUAAUUGGUAUUUAACUGGAGGUAACACCUCCCAGACUCUCUUUUUUUUUGCAUGAGGUAGCAUCAGCAGUGAUUGUGGCAAAAUGGGGAAAUGGCUGAAAAUGGUUAACCAGCCAUGGACAUGUGAUUUUUAUUUUGUAUACUCUUUAAUCCGUGAUUUCUUAUGAUCAUUUAAUAAACCUCAUAAAAUAUAGUUUUUUUAUUAUUUGAGAUAUAAAUUUAAUUUUUAUAAUAGAAGCUUUCAAUUAUGGGGCAACUUGAUGGCUCAGUGGAAUGAGAGCCAGACCUAUAGAAGGUAGAUCCUAAAUUCAAAAUGGGCCUCAAACACUUCCUAGCUGUGUGACCCUGGUCAAGUCACUUAACCCCCAUUGUCUAGCUCUUAUCAGUCUUCUGCCUUGGAAACAAUACAUAGUAUUAAUUUCAAGGCAGAAGGUAAAGGUUUAGAAAGAAAAAAAAAAGAAGCUUUCAAUCAUAAUUUCCUUUUGUUUUUCUUCUGUUGUUUACUUAUACUUUUUUCUUCUUUCCCUUCCUUAUGGGAUUUACAUUUGCUCCUCUGUUUGUUUGCUAGAUCUGUGAAUUUGAGCUUUUCAGUCCUGAAGGGGCUUCUUCUCUGUUCUGUUGAUAUCCUGGACUAGACUGUUUGAGCUAACCUGCUGAGCUAAUCUACCCUGAGGCCAAAUCUUCCCCAGCUGCCUACAGAGGCUGAAGAUGAAGGUAUGGAGGUUAAAAGUAUGUAACAAGCCUGCUCACACUUCUGCUUCUCCUGGCCAGCCGCCUUCCUGUCAGCCCCAGUCAGAGCCCUGAGCUUCCUUCAGGGGCACCAAGACUUUGGGAAUGGAAAGCCUUGUAGCCUGAGGAAAAAUACCUUCCAACUCAAUACUGAUCAGGAACCACUGGAUAUAGGAGGCCUCCUAGAUAGGUUCUGCCACAGCUCUUGGUGCCUUUGGGAGGAAAUGGUGAUUAGGAUCAAUGAGGGAUUUGUAUGGCUCAGGAGAGAAAUCUCUGACCAGCCUGUCACCCUUGGCUUCUCAAGCAAGAGAGAUCAACUGUCUCCCCCUGGAAUCUCCUCUUCCCUCAAGAUUCCGUACCUCCUUCACCAUCCCCCACUGUGGAUGCAAACCUCAGCAUGUAGUCCAGACUCUGUUCCUCAAAGUCUCUGGAUCAUUCCUCUAUCAGACUACUCAGAGUAAUGAGAUUGCCUAAUAUGAAUACUUAUAUAGCCUAUAUAUAAGUAUAUAGCUAUAUAGGUAGAGGUGCCAUUCCACUAAGUCCAACUUCUUUCCUAUCUGAACUCCUAGUUGUUUCCAAAUUUGAUAAUUUAAUCCUUUGACUCACCCUCCUUUAUUCAUUUCAGGACAAUUUUCCAGAUCCUCACCAGCUGAAAGUGCUCUCCCUAAUUAUAUCUCAGCACAUAAUAUUUCUUGCUCUUUGUUGUCUUAUCUAUAUAAUCUAUUUGUUUAUAUGCUUUAUUCCAUCCACCAAAAAAAGCAUAAGAUCCUUGAAAUAGGAAUUUAUUUUUGGUUUGGAAUAUUUUCUUUUGUUUUACUAGAUGUUUAAGUGAUACAUGAUUCUUGAGUUGAAUAAUGAAGAAUAUAUACUCAAGAAAAUAUUUUACACUAGUUGAGCCAGUAUAGUAAGUCCUUAUUUAUUAUGAGUAUCUAUUUUGGGGCAAUGCAUCUGAAAUACUAUGUGAUGAUAGACCUUUUAAAUAACAGAGGAGAUUUGAGAUAUAACCAUACCUGAUAAGAUGGAUCAUUAACUUGCUAAUACUUAUAUAAAUCUAACAAUUAAAAACAAUUAAAAUGCUAUCUUGGUAUAUUUUUAUUACUAUCCCUUUAAGUUCUCUAAAAAAAAAAAAAGCCCUCUUACCUUCCAUCUAAGAAUCAAUACCGUGUAAUGGUUCCAAGGCAGAAGAGCAAUAAGGACUAGGCAAUGGGGUUAAGUGACUUGCCCAAGGUCAAACACCUAGGAAAUGUCUAAGGCCAUAUCCCUUUAAGUUCUAAAGAAAAUUCUUAAAAAGUCGCGAAGAGGUUAAAAUAACCUUUCCUGGGUUCUCUUGCCCACCAUCUAUGAAUCUCACACUAGAUUAUUUUUGUAGUUCUCCUAACCAUGAAGAAGAUACUUUUUUUUAGGAAAAAAAAAUGCAGGUUAUAAAAUGUCAGGUCAAUUUAAGAAGCAAUCUUGCCAACAUUAGCACAUUUCAUGGGAAUUCAGUGUUUUCAAGGACAAGCAACUGAGUUAUUCUAAACAGUGCCCUUUAACUCUCUGAGGAUUAGUAGGAACUUGGUAAAUUGAAAGUUUAGUGCUUGGUGAAAGAUUAGAAUGUAAAUUGAGGGCCUCAAACUUUCUUGCCAGUUGAGAUUUUGGAAUAAUAUUUGUCACAUUAUUAGAAAGCUAUUGCUUCUUCAAUGACAACUUAUUUGUCAAGAGAAGUUGUAAUCAACCAACCACAGUUUGGGGUUCUAUUGAUCUUUUGCUUAAAGCUGAGACCUAGUCACAUUCUGUUCUGAAGCUUUUAUUGCCAACUUAUUCCUCUCAGUCAUACAAUGAUUUAGUCAUCACUCAACUGGGGCUACAGUGAUCAAAAAAGAACUGGUAGUUGAUUCUGUACUAAAGCAGUUUGCCUCUUUCAGUUGAGUUUAGACCAUUUUCAUAAAACCUGAAGUGUUUCUUGAGCCUUUAAGUUCUUCCUACCUAACGAAUUUUUGAUUACAUGUUUCAUUAUUCCUUAGUACCCAAUUAAUAAGGACAUUUUCCUUUACCA